UACGAAGGGGGCUAGCGUUGUUCGGAAUUACUGGGCGUAAAGCGCGCGCAGGCGGCUAUCCAAGUCAGUGGUGAAAGCCCGGAGCUCAACUCCGGAACUGCCAUUGAAACUGUUUAGCUUGAGUAUGAGAGAGGUGAGUGGAAUUCCCAGUGUAGAGGUGAAAUUCGUAGAUAUUGGGAAGAACACCGGUGGCGAAGGCGGCUCACUGGCCCGAUACUGACGCUGAGGUGCGAAAGCGUGGGGAGCAAACAGG
rnacentral:rRNA from 1 species